UACAGAGGGGGCAAGCGUUAUUCGGAAUUAUUGGGCGUAAAGGGCGCGUAGGCGGCUUUGCAAGUGACGGGUGAAAUCCCUCGGCUUAACCGGGGAACUGCGUCUGAUACUGGAUGGCUUGAGUGUGGGAGAGGGAUGCGGAAUUCCAGGUGUAGCGGUGAAAUGCGCAGAUAUCAGGAGGAACACCGGUGGCGAAGGCGGAUCUCUGGGCCUUACCUGACGCUGAGGCGCGAAAGCUAGGGGAGCGAACAGG
rnacentral:rRNA from 1 species